rnacentral:rRNA from 1 species
GUUGAACGCUAGCGCCAGGCUUAACACAUGCAAGUCGAGCGGAGAUGAGGUGCUUGCGCCUUAUCUUAGCGGCAGACGGGCGAGUGAUGCUUAGGAGUCUGCCUCUUAGUGAGGGACAGCAUUCCGAAAGUAAUGCUAAUACCGCUGCCGUCCUACGGGCACAACCAGGGGAACUUCGGACCUGGCGCUAAUAGAUAACCCAAAGUCGGAUUAGCUAGUUGGUGGGGUAAAGGCAUACCAAGGCGACGGUCUGUAGCGGGUCUGAGAGGAUGAUCCGGCACACUGGGACUGAGACACGGCCCAGACUGCUACGGGAGGCAGCAGUGGGGAAUAUUGGACAAUGGGGGAAACCCUGAUCCAGCCAUGCCGCGUGUGUGAAGAAGGCCUUAUGGUUGUAAAGCACUUUAAGCGAGGAGGAGGCUACUGAGACUAAUACUCUUGGAUAGUGGACGUUACUCGCAGAAUAAGCACCGGCUAACUCUGUGCCAGCCGCCGCGGUAA